AAGUCGAACGAAGCACUCUAUUUGAUUUUCUUCGGAAAUGAAGAUUUUGUGACUGAGUGGCGGACGGGUGAGUAACGCGUGGGUAACCUGCCUCAUACAGGGGGAUAACAGUUGGAAACGACUGCUAAUACCGCAUAAGCGCACAGGAUUGCAUGAUCCGGUGUGAAAAACUCCGGUGGUAUGAGAUGGACCCGCGUCUGAUUAGCCAGUUGGCAGGGUAACGGCCUACCAAAGCGACGAUCAGUAGCCGGCCUGAGAGGGUGACCGGCCACAUUGGGACUGAGACACGGCCCAAACUCCUACGGGAGGCAGCAGUGGGGAAUAUUGCACAAUGGGGGAAACCCUGAUGCAGCGACGCCGCGUGAGCGAAGAAGUAUUUCGGUAUGUAAAGCUCUAUCAGCAGGGAAGAAGAAUGACGGUACCUGACUAAGAAGCACCGGCUAAAUACGUGCCAGCAGCCGCGGUAAUACGUAUGGUGCAAGCGUUAUCCGGAUUUACUGGGUGUAAAGGGAGCGCAGGCGGUGCGGCAAGUCUGAUGUGAAAGCCCGGGGCUCAACCCCGGUACUGCAUUGGAAACUGUCGUACUAGAGUAUCGGAGGGGUAAGUGGAAUUCCUAGUGUAGCGGUGAAAUGCGUAGAUAUUAGGAGGAACACCAGUGGCGAAGGCGGCUUACUGGACG
rnacentral:rRNA from 1 species